rnacentral:rRNA from 1 species
UGGGGAAUAUUGGACAAUGGGGGCAACCCUGAUCCAGCAAUGCCGCGUGUGUGAAGAAGGCCUUCGGGUUGUAAAGCACUUUUAUCGGGAACGAAACAUUGUCGGCCAAUACCCGGCAAGACUGACGGUACCCGAGGAAUAAGCACCGGCUAACUCCGUGCCAGCAGCCGCGGUAAUACGGAGGGUGCAAGCGUUAAUCGGAAUUACUGGGCGUAAAGCGUGCGCAGGCGGUUUGUUAAGUCUGCUGUGAAAUCCCCGAGCUCAACUUGGGAAUUGCAGUGGAUACUGGCAAGCAGGAGUACGGUAGAGGAAGGUGGAAUUCCCGGUGUAGCAGUGAAAUGCGUAGAGAUCGGGAGGAACACCAGUGGCGAAGGCGGCCUUCUGGACCAGUACUGACGCUCAUGCACGAAAGCGUGG